CGUGGGGAGAAAAAGAUAAACAAAACCCUGUCGACGCAGAUCGAGUUGUAAAUUACGUUGAUUACAAAUUCAUUAUUUCGCUCUUUGCAUCUUCAUCAUCCAUUGCAAAGUUCAGACUUCAGAGAAAGUGUUCACACCAAAGUGAGAGAGAUGCAUCUAUGGCCAUCAAUGAGAUUAAGGGACUCAUUCAAAUUGGGUUACUUGAAGAAUCUAGAAUGGAACCUUCACAGAAUGGAUAGUCAGAAGAAACGUAACAAGUCCCAGAACUGUGGAAAUAAUGAUCAGAAGCUUCUGGAUGAUGAACCAAGCAGUUCUAGUACCAGCGGUGGAGGAGGAGGGAAAUUAGUUGUGAUUUGUAGGGACUUACUCAUGAUCCUUUCUUGUUGCUACUGCUGUUUCUGCUGUGGAGCCUGUGUUGCCGAUGAAGAAGACUAAAGACAAGACAGCUAAUGGAAGAAAGAGAAUCCAUUAUGGAAUUAGAUGUAAAGAAAAGAUUAGAGUUUAAUGAAAAAGGACAACUGUAAUUUAAGCUUCGCAACUGUUCUGAGCUAUGGGCUAAGUUAAUUACUAUUGUUUAUCCUCUAUUUAUAAUUAUAUUAGACUAAUCCUUUAGAACCAUAGAUUAGGGAAUGAUUUAAGUUACAUCUUUACUGACAGAUCUCAAUAACUGGCACCUAUUUUGCCAUCGUUA